GGCAGAUGGAUUUUUGUUUUAAGGUUCUCCUUAGGACACAUAGCUCCUGCCUCAAUAGACACCAAACUGCAACCAGAAUCUCCUUUCUCGCACAGGUUUGGCACAAGGGUCAGCAAGGCUACACCAGCCUUUGAAAUAGGGAGGAGGGAAUAGAGAGAUGAGAAGAGAAUGUAAAUGCCGGGAAUCGGAGAAUUGUAGGUCUUUUUGCAAACGUCUUCCACAAAAUGUUCUUCUGUGAUAUUUUAAACAAAUGUCAUGCAGGUCUAGCUGGACUCCGCCCCGAGACAGAGAACCCUAACCUGGUGGGGUCACCGAGAGCCAGUGGCCUGGAGACACAAGGACAGCUACUAUCAUUCUCCAGUGGCAAAUGAGGCUCCAGUCAUCAAGCUAAAGUUCACACAGCUGGCCA
rnacentral:lncRNA from 1 species